rnacentral:sRNA from 1 species
GCUGGGCAUGGGGGCGCAUGUCUGUAAUCCCAGUGGCUCAGGAGGCUGAGGCAGGAGGAUUGUGAGUUCAAAUCCAGCCUCAGCAAAAGUAAGGCACUAAGCUACUCAGUGAGACCCUGUCUCUA